CUGCUAUUUAUUUAUGAUAUAGACAAUUAUUGAUGUAUUGGUUUCUUUAUUGUUUUAUUAUAUUCUACAGUCAUGUAGAUAUGUGAUAUUUAUACUGCCAUCUAUUUGUAUAUAUAUACUGCCAUUCAUUUAUGAUAUGGACAAUUAUUAAUGUAUUGGUUUUUUUAUUGUUCUUAUUAUAAUAUUUAUAUAUAUUAUAUUCUAAAGUAUUUGACUCAGAAAGGAGUUAAUAAACUGUUGAUCGCUUGAGCAAGAUUGAAAACGGUUGUUCUCCGCUUCAUAUUACCCACAGCCCAAACCAGCCUGUGGGCCUUGUACCUGCCCAGAUUCCCCUAGAUCUGGUGCCGGUAACAAUUGGGGGCUCGUCCGGGAUCAAGCAUUCAAGAGCAGGGUGAGCGGUCACUGUGACGGUGAGACCAGGUGUCCAAGCUUCAGGGAAGGCUGUUGUGUUUAACGUCAUCCAGAGAGCGACAGUCACCAGUGAGACAUCACAAUGGCCAUCGUAACCCCACGGCGGAUGCUGAUCUUCCAGAUUAACAAAAAACUUCCAGCGCUGAGUUCCAGUCAACUGCAGUUGGUUGCCAGCUCAGUCGAAGAUGGCAGCGAGAGCACUGAGAGCUUCAGUGAACCAGAGCUGUACGACUUCAUUCUCGACUACACCAGGAGCGAGAGGUUGAAAGCGAUGGAAGAUGAAGGCAUGGCUCAACUCCUCUCCCUCCAGGACCUGCUGCAUGAUCUGACAUUGACAGACGCCAGGUCUGGUGAGGUUGGUGUUUCCACCGUUCAUAUGAAUGGUGCGGGAGACAUGCACACACACACGUCACCAAUGGACAACCAUGCACCUGACAAUCCAGAGAUGCCAGCCCAGCUGACUGUUGCUGGAUCCCGCAGUGUCCACCAUGGUCGGUCAAGCUUAUCCUCCACUGUAACAGAGCAGGUUGUAAGGUUGUCUGACGUUACUGCUCUGCUUCCACGCAGAGAGUGUAAAAUGCACGGUGGUCAGAUAUCUGAUACAGGUUCUGACAUGUCUUUUAAGGGUCUUUGUAAGCAGAUUGACACUGCUUUACAAGAAGGGUUUAGUGAGGCUGAGAUCAUUAGAGCAGUUCUUAAAGUAAUUAAACCAGGUACAUUUAGGGAAAUGCUAACUAACAAUGAUGAUCUAACAGUUAAUGGGUUAAAGAGGUUCCUCCGCUCUCACAUCAGAGAUCAAAGUGUAACCGAGCUCUUCCAAGAGUUAAGUAAUGCCAGACAGCACGACAGGGAGAGUCCACAGCAAUUUCUAUAUAGGCUUAUGGGGUUAAAGCAGAGAGUUAUUUUUGAGUCUAAGCAGCCUGGUGUAGAGUUUAGUUAUGACAGGAGGCUUGUACAGGGUACCUUUCUUCACACACUCUACCAAGGUCUAAACGAGAGAAACAGCUACGUUAGACAUGACAUCAAAACGUUUCUUGCUGACCAGCAGAUUAGUGAUGACUUUCUGUUAGAACAGAUGACUAGGUCCAUGACUGAGGAAGAGGGGAGGUUAAAGCGCCUGGGUGUUGUAUCUAAGUCUCGACCAGUGACUGUAAGUGUUGCCCAACAUGACGGUAAUGGACAGACUGACAUGAAUACACCGACUCUAGUUGAUGCCGAGUUAGAGGCUAAUCGUGAUGCUAUCAGACAACUGACUGCACAAGUGUCUUCUCUGACCAGACACAUGACCCUCGUUGACAGGACUGCAGAAUGCAUACAGUCUGGCGGCCCUAGUACCUCAUUUAGUCGUCCGCAGCUACUGUCAGUCGACAAAAAGGGUAGAUGCCAGGAUUGUAUAACAAGCGGAACCAUGGGCUGUCCCCAUUGUUUUAUCUGUGGCCAGGCAGGACACCGAGCCAUCGGCUGUUUACAAAGAAGGUCAUCGGGAAACGGGAAGCGGUCACAGGAAAAGGGGCAGCCAGUGAUCAUAAACAGUGUUAAGCCCACAUUUAAGAUCAAGCCGUCAGCCACACCAUGCCAAUCAGACCCAAAGAAACGCAUUGCACAGCUCAUAGGGAAACGUUGUACCGUCUCUUGCAACAUCAACGGUGUGCCUAUAGAAAUGCUUUUAGACUCAGGUGCUCAGGUGACGAUGGUCAGCAAAACCUGGAUAGACAGUGCAUCACCCCGUGUCAAAAUCCAACCUCUUCAGUCCCUCUUUGCCGAUCAGUCCUUUGAAAUAUCAGCAGCAAAUGGUACACAAGUUCCACUGGAUGGAUGGGCUGAGGUUGACUUGCAGAUUUGUAGUGAGCGCCAUGGGUCUUUGAUAAUUAGAGUGCCCCUUCUUGUCAGUCAGAGUUGUCACUGUCCCCUGUUAGGUAGCAACGUUAUAGCCGAGAUCGUCAACGACCAUGACAAUACCCUUAAUGUGACUGCGAUCCUGACUGAUGCUUUGAGUGUCCCUGAAAACACAGUUGAGGCUUUAGUCUCUGCCCUACAGAUCACAACCAGUGACGAGACGGCAUUAUGUACGGUGCGCAUAGGCAGGCAAGGUGUCACUAUCCCUGCUGGUCGAGUCUAUCAAAUACUUUGCCGGGUUAGGGGGUUAUCAGGGAAUCGUACCAUGCUGUUCCAGCCUCUCAUAGAGAACACCUGCCCUGAGGGUCUAGAACUGUUUCCUGCCCUAGUCGACGUUCCUUGUGGGUCAUCAAAAUGCAUUAAAAUUCCCAUCCAAAAUGCAACCCGACAUGCCAUUUAUCUGCCCCAGAGAACCACUCUCGGCACCCUUGAGGAAAUGGCUGAUGUGAAACCUGUCCUGAGUCCUGAGGGCAUGCAGCAUGACGCUGCCCAAACCUUUUCAGCUCAGCUAAACACAGAUCCAGUGACCUACCUGAACAAUGAGCAAGGCAGACAGAUCAAAGAAAAGUGGCACCCUCCUGUUGACGUAUCACAUCUAGCAGAGGAUGAACAGAGAGUAGUUAAGGAAAUGUUGUUCAAGGAGUCAGACGUGUUUGCCAAAGACGAUGCUGACAUUGGUUGUAUUCCUGACCUACAACUUAGAAUCAACCUCACAGAUGAAACACCCGUCCAAAAGUCUUACAAUGCCAUCCCAAAGCCCUUGUAUCGAGAGGUGAAAGACUACGUUCAGAACUUGCUUGACCGUGGUUGGAUCAGAAAAUCCACCUCAGCUUACUCUUCUCCUGUGGUCUGUGUGAGAAAAAAGGACAUGAGCUUGCGGCUCUGUGUUGACUUCCGUGGGCUGAACAACAAAACCAUCCCUGACCGUCAUCCACUUCCCCGCAUCCAAGACCUCCUGGACAACUUAGGAGGCAACUCAUGGUUCUCCAUACUUGACCAGGGCAGUGCCUACCACCAAGGCUUUGUUGAAGAGAGCUGCCGUCACCUGACCGCUUUUAGCACACCUUGGGGGUUUUAUGAGUGGGCACGCCUCCCAUUUGGCCUCACCAAUGCUCCAGCAGCAUUUCAGCGCUGCAUGGAAGGCAUGCUGGCUGGUCUGAGGGAUGAAUGCUGUUCUCCUUAUUUGGAUGAUGUCCUUUGCUUUUCCAAGACAUUCCAGGGGCAUGUUGAGGACUUGAGACGAGUGCUGUGUCACUUACGAGAGCAUGGUGUGAAGCUGCGCGCGAAAAAGUGUGAGCUGUUCAAACGCCAAGUCAGGUAUGUCGGACGCCUGGUCACAAGUGAAGGUGUUCAGAUAGACCCCAAAGACCUGGAAGCGGUGUUGCAUAUGAAGGAGAGACAGCCAAAGAAUGUGGGAGAGGUCCGAGCUCUGCUUGGUUUCUUGGGCUACUAUCGCUCAUUCAUCCAGGACUUCUCCAGAAUAGCCCGACCACUGUUUAAGCUCCAAGAACAGCCUGCUGCUUCCAACAAGAGUCCUGUUACAGCAAAGUCCAACCAGAAAGGCAAGAACAGUGGCCAGUUACCAUCCAGGACACCAGUUCAGUGGACCCCUGAACACAGUGCUGUUGUGUCCCGCCUUGUUGACAUGCUGAUUAACCCCCCCAUCUUGGCCUACCCCGACUUCCAUUUGCCAUUUGUCCUGCACACUGAUGCAUCCAAUGAAGGUUUGGGGGCUGUGCUCUACCAGGAACAGGAUAGUAAACUCCGGGUUAUUGCUUAUGGUUCCAGGUCACUCACGCCUGCUGAGAAGAAUUAUCACCUCCAUUCCAGUAAGCUUGAGUUCCUAGCCCUGAAGUGGGCCGUCUGCAAUAAAUUUCGUGAUUAUCUGUAUUAUGCACCAACAUUCACUGUGUAUACAGAUAACAACCCCCUCACCUACGUCCUGAGCACGGCCAAGUUGAAUGCUGUUGGACACCGCUGGGUUGGUGAAUUAGCUGACUUCAACUUUACCAUCAAGUACAGGCCAGGCAAGGCAAAUGUUGACGCUGACACCCUGUCCAGGUAUCCAGUGAAGCUCCAAGAUGACUUGUUGGAGUACUCUGAGAUAAUGCUACCUGAGGUUGUAUCUGCUAUCUGGCAGGGGAACAAAGCCGAGAGAGAUGAGGAUGUACCCUGGGCUGCCGCCCUUCAGAUCUCCACCAUUGAUGAUGACCCUCCUUCUGUGAGUACACCCAUGUUCACCCCAGAGGACAUCAGAGAUGCCCAGAAAGCGGAUGAAUCCAUUGGUGAGGUGAUCCAGUUAAAAAGGAGCGGAUGGAAUCCAAGAGACAAAGACCAGAGGCCAAUACAAUCAGGAACGCGACGGCUCACACAUGAGUGGAACAGGCUCAAACUGGAUAAAGGAAUUCUGUACAGGCAGUCAGGACAAAAUCAACAGCUAGUCCUUCCCAAAGCACUAAAGUUAACUGUACUCAAACACCUGCAUGAUGACAUGGGACAUGUCGGAGCUGACAAAGUCAUCCACCUCGCAAGGCAGCGGUUCUACUGGCCUUUUAUGCAGCGCGACAUUGAAGACUACGUCAUCCGACAGUGCUCAUGCAUUAAGCAAAAGCGACCUGCUGUUCAUGAGAAAGCACCAAUGGGCUCAAUCACAACCAGUGCCCCUUUUGAGCUGCUCUCUGUCGACUAUAUGCAUCUCGAUCCCAGUAAAGGAGGCUAUGAGUACGUCCUUGUUGUAGUAGAUCACUUCACCCGUUUUGCUCAGGCCUACCCAACUCGAAAUAAGACUGGCAAAACAGCGGCUGAAAAGAUCUUCUACGAUUUCAUUCCACGCUUCGGGUACCCUCAAAAGCUUCACCAUGACCAGGGCCGGGAGUUCGAGAACACCCUGUUUCAGAGACUCCAACAGCUGGCAGGAAUUUCUCACUCCCGAACUACUCCUUACCAUCCGCAGGGAAACCCUGUCGAACGCUUGAAUAGAACGCUGCUCCAGAUGCUCAGAACGCUCCAUGAGGAAAAGAAGGCAGAGUGGAAAGACCAUCUUCCCAGCAUUGUCCACGCCUACAACUGUACAAGACAUGAGGCAACAGGCUACUCACCUUUCUUUCUUCUCUUUGGAAGACAUCCACAGCUCCCCAUCGACCUGAUCUUCAACCUUCACCCAGAUCGGCAAGCACAGACACGACAGGAGUAUGCCCAGACCUGGGCUUCCCGGAUGCAGGAGGCAUAUCGGAUUGCCUCAGAAAACAGCAAGAAGUCCUCUAAGAAAGGGAAGAGGCACUAUGACCAAGGUGCCAGGGGUGUUCUGCUGCAUCCAGGUGAUCGUGUGCUUGUCAGGAACCUGUCUGAGAGAGGUGGCCCAGGAAAACUCAGAUCUUACUGGGAGGGGAAAAUCCACCGUGUCAUCGAGAGGCUAGGAGACGGUCCAGUUUAUCGUGUCCAAGUAGAAACAGGUGACCGAACCCUCCGGGUUCUCCACCGCAACCUCCUCUUGCCGGUCAGUGACUUGCCAGUCAGCCAUGAGGAACGUGAUACUGGUGUGGAGAAGAAGCCACAAAGACAAAGACAUCAUGUUCAGCCCAGAGAAGCCACCAAGUCAGAUUCCAGCACCUCCUGUGAUGAGGGAGAGUGCUCAUACAACCUCAGACCUUUGCCUGUGUAUGAAAGAAACGCUGUCAGACACCAUUCACCUCAACGUGAACUUCACAGCAAGCUGAGGGCUGUGGCUCCAGCAUAUCAGCCUUUGAACCAAGCACUGGAGUCUGAGGAUGAAUGGCAGGCAGAAGCAUCUGACCCUUCGAUGACAGGAGAGUCAAUGCCCGCACCACGAAGGAUAGAUCUGUCCCCAGCUGUGGAAGGAGAGGAACAACACAGGGAUGAUGCUGUGGAGAGUGGAAGUCCUCAGGAUUCUGAGACAUAUGUUGUACCUGUUCCUCAGCCAGUGAGAGAGGUAGAACAGCAAUUGCGGAGGUCCACCAGACCAGUGAAACCCAGAAGCAUCUUCACGUAUGACCAUUCAGGACAACCUUCCUACCAGCCUUGGAGAAUGGGAGCAAAUGCAUUGUACUGUGUCCCGCAUCCCAUGCUCACCUACCCAGUGUUUCCUGAGAUGUGCUACCACCCUCCCCAAGCUGUAUGGACAUACGGAAGAAUUGACAGUGACCAGAACAUUGGCAUUGACAUGCGAUCUUACUUACAUACGACUUACCUGUGACUGACGUUCGGCAGAUUCAACUCCUGUUGACACUGAUGACCCCUGGGGACUGUUCUUACCUGACCUUUCGACAGUUGACUCCUGAUCUGACGUUCUGAUCAAUGAUUAACUUGACACAGCGCCACAGAUAGUUUAGUUCUAGAUGUCAGGAGACAACUUUUAAAGCAGGGGAGAGUGUAACGGGCAUAGAAAAUGGCUUGUGGUAUAAAACAGUUCCUCCCCACCCAUUUUCUGGAUUUAGCUGUUAAUUGCAAUAGCGGUUAAUAUUGACCCUAUUGUAUUAUUUUCAUGCCACUAGAUGGCACUGUGCACUGUUGACAUAGUGGGUUGCCAUGGAGACGAAGCUCGAGUUAAUAAACUGUUGAUCGCUUGAGCAAGAUUGAAAACGGUUGUUCUCCGCUUCAUAUUACCCACAGCCCAAACCAGCCUGUGGGCCUUGUACCUGCCCAGAUUCCC